UACCAGGUAGGAAUGAGACUAUAUACAAGGAGUACAGAGUCACUGUGCAGGGGUACCAGGUAGUAAUGAGACUAUAUACAAGGAGUACAGAGUCACUGUGCAGGGGUACCAGGUAGUAAUGAGACUAUAUACAAGGAGUACAGAGUCACUGUGCAGGGGUACCAGGUAGUAAUGAGACUAUAUACAAGGAGUACAGAGUCACUGUGCAGGGGUACCAGGUAGUAAUGAGACUAUAUACAAGGAGUACAGAGUCACGGUGCAGGGGUACCAGGUAGUAAUGAGACUAUAUACAAGGAGUACAGAGUCACGGUGCAGGGGUACCAGGUAGUAAUGAGACUAUAUACAAGGAGUACCAGUACAGAGUCACGGUGCAGGGGUACC